rnacentral:tRNA from 1 species
GGCCGGGUGCCCGAGUCAGGUCAGGGGCUCGCCUGCACAGCGAGACACACCGGUUCGAAUCCGGUUUCGGCCUC